ACACAUGCAAGUCGAACGGUAACAGGAAGAAGCUUGCUUCUUUGCUGACGAGUGGCGGACGGGUGAGUAAUGUCUGGGAAACUGCCUGAUGGAGGGGGAUAACUACUGGAAACGGUAGCUAAUACCGCAUAACGUCGCAAGACCAAAGAGGGGGACCUUCGGGCCUCUUGCCAUCGGAUGUGCCCAGAUGGGAUUAGCUAGUAGGUGGGGUAACGGCUCACCUAGGCGACGAUCCCUAGCUGGUCUGAGAGGAUGACCAGCCACACUGGAACUGAGACACGGUCCAGACUCCUACGGGAGGCAGCAGUGGGGAAUAUUGCACAAUGGGCGCAAGCCUGAUGCAGCCAUGCCGCGUGUAUGAAGAAGGCCUUCGGGUUGUAAAGUACUUUCAGCGGGGAGGAAGGGAGUAAAGUUAAUACCUUUGCUCAUUGACGUUACCCGCAGAAGAAGCACCGGCUAACUCCGUGCCAGCAGCCGCGGUAAUACGGAGGGUGCAAGCGUUAAUCGGAAUUACUGGGCGUAAAGCGCACGCAGGCGGUUUGUUAAGUCAGAUGUGAAAUCCCCGGGCUCAACCUGGGAACUGCAUCUGAUACUGGCAAGCUUGAGUCUCGUAGAGGGGGGUAGAAUUCCAGGUGUAGCGGUGAAAUGCGUAGAGAUCUGGAGGAAUACCGGUGGCGAAGGCGG
rnacentral:rRNA from 1 species